rnacentral:rRNA from 1 species
GUUGUCCGGAUUUACUGGGCGUAAAGGAUGCGUAGGCGGACAUUUAAGUCAGAUGUGAAAUACCCGAGCUUAACUUGGGUGCUGCAUUUGAAACUGGGUGUCUAGAGUGCAGGAGAGGUAAGUGGAAUUCCUAGUGUAGCGGUGAAAUGCGUAGAGAUUAGGAAGAACACCAGUGGCGAAGGCGACUUACUGGACUGUAAACUGACGCUGAGGCAUGAAAGCGUGGGGAGCAAACAGG